GUGUGACGACAGUUUUAUAGACAUGUUUUGAAUAUAAAUAAACGUUAAUGCAUGCAUAUUUACGCAGAAGCUGCGUUUAUUUCGUAUGCACAGGAACAUAACACCCAUCAAGUACAUUUAAACAUUUUUUUCAAGGAACUUUUUAACGCAUUCUGUGUGUGGCGGAACGAUAUCUGCGUUAAAUUGCGAAGCGGCCGAUGUCUUAAUAACCCUGCCCCUCAUUUUUUUUCUUUAGUCUUGUCGUAGAGUGGUAUACUGGAUGUAUUGUGGUUUUGAGUCGCUUUGUAAGAUAAUUGUUUUAAUUACCGUUUGUAUAAUGGGGGACGAUUACCGUAAUCUGUUUGGUAUCUAAAAGUAUUUAUAGAAACGAAUGUUAUGAGCGGUGCAGUUUUGUACAGUCAUUCGAGUUGUGAAAUGGGAGUUUGUCUUUUUUUCUCCACAGCCUAAAAUGGCGGACAUUACGUUCUAGUGUUUGGCUGUAUCAGCGUACGAUACACUUAUAAUUUGUGUAAUAAAUGAUUCUGUUUGUUUCCAGAUUUGAUUUUAUCAGCACUUUUAAUUUGAUUUGUCUUUUAUUUCAAGGUAUCAAAAAUAUUUUGAAUGGGUAAAAGUUAUUAUUUAAUUGUUAAGGCGUCACGAUCACUAGCUUACUCGAAUGUUAAGCUGCAAAACUUAUUUCUCUCUUAUUCUAAACAGGAAAAAUUGACUUUGGUGACAUCACGCUGUCUGUACAACAGCCUCAUUUUGCCCUCGCUUUAUUUGGGCUGUGGGGACGCGUUGGAACUGCAGUGGUAAAAUGAAGGAUAUUAUAAAAGCCCUAUUUUGACUGCAUUCCAUCGAGUCCACACUUCGAAUAGAAGUAGUACGUACAAGUCAUCUUGGAGACUCCCAAGAAAAGUGGUAUUCACUGCCCUAUUCAGUACCUUGGAUAGACACCAAACACUGGCUUGCUACUGUAUCCUAUGUUGAAGAGCAUUAUGUGCAAGUGUCCUCCUAUUGAGCGGUAUUGCUCUCCUACAGCAAAUUGAGCAAGAUGCUGCUGUGCAACAACAACUGCAUUAUCGUCAAAGUGCAUUUUAAGUCUGCAAGAAUGUGAAAAGCCAUUUGCAGACUGUUUCAAAGGAUGGUGUUUGGGAAGAAAUUAAGUACGAUGUCUAGGUGAAGAGAGCGAUCAGAGCAACAUCUUUUGAAGAAGUGGGUAAGAUUUUCUUAAAAUAUAUUUGCUCUAAAGAACUGUCUGUCUAGUUAAAAUAGCUGAGAAAAAUAUGUGGAAUUUCAUUUUUCAGAUCCAUUUGUGUAUAAGUGGGUGAAGUACAACAUGGCACUUGUUCGGAACAGUUUUCAUUUGGUGGGAGGGGGGUAUUCUCCUUAACUGUUUUUGAUUAUCUUUUCCAGCUGACCCACAUUUCAUGCAGGUUGCAUAUGCCAUAGUUGAAGAACACAGUUAAAAAGAGAUGUCCCCAGGAGGACUAGGAAGCCAAAAACGUGUGCCUGGAAUGUCUGUGGGAUAAGGAAGUUCUCUGUUGAAGUGUAGUUUCUGGUAUGUUGCUAACCUUUCACAGCCAUUUAGAAUCAAGGAACAGAAGUGUUGUAUGUUGGAUUUAAGGCCAACAAGGGGUGUUGAAAUUUUUUUAGUUUCCCAGAUUGUCUGCCUGGGAUUUGCUUUGUAAAGUUAUGUUUAUAGUUUGUUUUUCUUUUCGCGUUUUUUAUUUUACCUCAUUUGAUGCAAGAAAUGAACUUGAAAUCCUUUCUGUAUUUGCAGAAGUAGAGUUACUUUGAAAAAUCUUUGUGGCUACAGUUUUCAUACAAGAUGCAUAGUUUCCAUUGUUAAACUCUGAAAAAUAGUCAUAGUGCACUUUCUCUGUGCCCUGUGGCACAUUCAGUGAAAAUGUUUUAAGUGGUACUCUUUUAUGCUAAGUAUUUUAAUAGGUAGAAUUGGCUUAUAACUUUGCAACCUGUAGCGAGUUUCUUGUCAGACUGCUUUGUGUGACCUGAUAACAUGCUACAAUGAAGUGUAGGGAUUCUGUGGAAUAUUUCAUUCUUUUCUUAGGUUACUGAGGUUUGGUGAUCAAAAUUUUGGGAUAACAAAUAUCUUGCAGGAUUGUUGCGAUACCUUAGUUGUGCUGUUAACCUGGAAGAUUUGAGGGCCUUGGGCAAAAAGAAUGAAAAGUAAUGCAAUGUCUGUGUCCUGUUUUUGCAUAUACUUUCAAAGGUAAGUGAAACUACCUUUGCAGUUGCGUUAGAAUGAAGAGAACCAUUUAGGCUAUGAUCAUGAAUUUGAAUUUUACUUGCAUUUCAGAGUUGUGACGGCCUAAAGAAGUGCAACAAAUUCCGUCUGGUGAGGUUAGUUCUCUGGUUGUGGAGACUUGUCUUGAGUGGCUGGGUUACAUAUCGUACAUACCUUUUCUAGUCAGUAUCAUAAAAUGGGUCUUUCAGCAAAAGAAGACACACCGUGCAUCAAAGUGAAUGAUCAGAAGAUACUCCGACUUUGAGGCCUUGCUUAAGCUGAGGCCAUUCCACAUUAAUUCAACAUUGUUCUAACAAGUAACACUCAAAACACAUGUUUAUUUUUACAUUGUUUAUUGUAUUUUUCAUUUUUGUGAAGGCUGUGUGAUUCAUUGAGCCAUUUUACGUUGCAUUUAUUGAUUUGUAGUUUCUUGUGGUUUAGGGUAGAGUACACUGAUAAGAUAACCGAUAUUGAUAAUAGCUGUCCUUGUGUGUAUUCAAUCUUCUUCGUGUUUCACUGUUGCAGUCAUCACAUUUGGGUUAUCU